GACGUAGGAGGCGAGCGUUAUCCGGAUUCACUGGGCGUAAAGCGCGUGUAGGCGGCUCGAUAAGUCGUGUGUUAAAGCCCCUGGCUCAACUGGGGGAGGUCAUGCGAGACUAUCGGACUUGAGGGCAGUAGAGGCACGUGGAACUCCCGGUGUAGCGGUGGAAUGCGUAGAGAUCGGGAAGAACACCCGUGGCGAAGGCGACGUGCUGGGCUGCAACUGACGCUGAGACGCGAAAGCGUGGGGAGCGAACAGG
rnacentral:rRNA from 1 species